AGUCGUAACAAGGUUUCCGUUGGUGAACCAGCGGAAGGAUCAUUACAGCGAAGCGGCGCGAGCCGCCUUUCGAACCACCGCGUACCGAACCCCCCACGUUGCCUCGGCGGGCGCCGGGCGCCCCGCGCCCGCCCCGCCGAACGGCCCCCCAGCAAGACCCCUUCCGUCGAGAUGGCGUCGUCUGAACCCUCCGGGGAAAACGUUUGAAACGAAAAACACAACUUUCAACAAUGGAUCUCUUGGCUCCGGCAUCGAUGAAGAACGCAGCGAAACGCGAUAGCUAGUGUGAAUUGCAGAUUUCAGUGAAUCAUCGAGUCUUUGAACGCACAUUGCGCCUCUUGGUAUUCCUCGAGGCAUGCCUGUUCGAGCGUCGUUACGCCCCUCAAGCGCGAGCUUGGUGUUGGGGACCGCCCCUGAGACACGGCGGCGGCCCCGGAAUGCAUCGGCGGUGCUGGUCCCAGCCCGGAGCGCAGCAGACAUGCGGCUCCGCGGGCGGGGCCGGCGCCCGCCGGACAAACGACGAGACCCCUCCACAAGUCGACCUCGAAUCAGGUAGGGAUACCCGCUGAACUUAAGCAUAUCAAUAA
rnacentral:misc_RNA from 1 species